AUUGAACGCUGGCGGCAUGCUUUACACAUGCAAGUCGAACGGCAGCGCGGGCUUCGGCCUGGCGGCGAGUGGCGAACGGGUGAGUAAUACAUCGGAACGUGCCCAGUAGUGGGGGAUAGCUCGGCGAAAGCCGGAUUAAUACCGCAUACGACCUGAGGGUGAAAGCGGGGGAUCUUCGGACCUCGCGCUAUUGGAGCGGCCGAUGGCAGAUUAGCUAGUUGGUGGGGUAAAGGCCUACCAAGGCGACGAUCUGUAGCUGGUCUGAGAGGACGACCAGCCACACUGGGACUGAGACACGGCCCAGACUCCUACGGGAGGCAGCAGUGGGGAAUUUUGGACAAGGGGCGAAAGCCUGAUCCAGCAAUGCCGCGUGUGUGAUGAAGGCCUUCGGGUUGUAAAGCACUUUUGGCGGGAACGAAAAGGACUGUGCCAAUACCACGGUUCGAUGACGGUACCCGCAGAAUAAGCACCGGCUAACUACGU
rnacentral:rRNA from 1 species